GAACUUGAGUUUGUGUAUAGAAAUGUCUUUAGGUGUAUGGAACUUGAGUUUGUGUAUAGAAAUGUCUUUAGGUGUAUGGAACUUGAGUUUGUGUAUAGAAAUGUCUUUAGGUGUAUGGAACUUGAGUUUGUGUAUAGAAAUGUCUUUAGGUGUAUGGAACUUGAGUUUGUGUAUAGAAAUGUCUUUAGGUGUAUGGAACUUGAGUUUAUGAGUUUAUAAAUGGAACUUGCUGUAUGUGUUUUGCUUUAGACUUGGACACCUGAGGAAACUAGGUAUUUUUUCGAACUCUAUGCGGAAGAGAGAAGAAAAGGAAAUAAGGCUGGUAUAUCAAUGAAUAAAGCGGGGAAAGCAAACAUUAUGGAGGCGUUUGAACAGCGAUUUA